GCUGGGAGUGGUGGCACAUGCCUGUAAUCCCAGUGGCUUGGAGGCUGAGGCAGGAGGAUCAUGAGUUCAAAGUCGUCUUAGCAAAGGCCAGGCGAUAAGCAAUUCAGUGAGACUCAGUCUCUA
rnacentral:sRNA from 1 species